AACGCUAGCUACAGGCUUAACACAUGCAAGUCGAGGGGUAACGAGAGGGAAGCUUGCUUUCCUUGUCGACGACCGGCGCACGGGUGAGUAACGCGUAUCCAACCUGCCCACAACUAAGGAAUAACCUUGCGAAAGUAAGACUAAUACCUUAUAAUUUCCUCUGAAGGCAUCGGACGAGGAAUAAAGAUUUAUCGGUUAUGGAUGGGGAUGCGUCUGAUUAGCUUGUUGGCGGGGUAACGGCCCACCAAGGCAACGAUCAGUAGGGGUUCUGAGAGGAAGGUCCCCCACAUUGGAACUGAGACACGGUCCAAACUCCUACGGGAGGCAGCAGUGAGGAAUAUUGGUCAAUGGGCGAGAGCCUGAACCAGCCAAGUAGCGUGCAGGAUGACGGCCCUAUGGGUUGUAAACUGCCUUUAUACAGGAAUAAAGUUAGCCACGUGUGGUUAUUUGUAGGUACUGUAUGAAUAAGGACCGGCUAAUUCCGUGCCAGCAGCCGCGGUAAUACGGAAGGUCCAGGCGUUAUCCGGAUUUAUCGGGUUUAAAGGGAGCGUAGGCCGUCUGUUAAGCGUGUUGUGAAAUGUAGAUGCUCAACAUCUGAAUUGCAGCGCGAACUGGCAGACUUGAGUGUGCGCAACGUAGGCGGAAUUCGUGGUGUAGCGGUGAAAUGCUUAGAUAUCACGAAGAACUCCGAUUG
rnacentral:rRNA from 1 species